CCCUUAGAUGUCCUGGGCCGCACGCGCGUUACACUGAUGCAUUCAACGAGCUUAUAACCUUGGCCGAGAGGCCUGGACAAUCUUGUUAACGUGCAUCGUGAUAGGGAUAGAUUAUUGAAAUUAUUAAUCUUGAACGAGGAAUUCCUAGUAAACGCAGAUCAUCAAUCUGCAUUGAUUACGUCCCUGCCCUUUGUACACACCGCCCGUCGCACCUACCGAUUGGAUGGUCCGGUGAAGCCUCGGGAUUGUGGUUCUUGCCGCUUUGUUGUGGCGUGACCGCGAGAACUUGUCUAAACCUUAUCAUCUAGAGGAAGGUGAAGUCGUAACA
rnacentral:rRNA from 1 species